GACGAACGCUGGCGGCGUGCUUAACACAUGCAAGUCGAACGAUGAAGCCUUUCGGGGUGGGAUUAGUGGCGAACGGGUGAGUAACACGUGGGUAAUCUGCCUUGCACUCUGGGAUAAGCCUGGGAAACUGGGUCUAAUACCGGAUAUGACUACUUCACGCAUGUGGGGUGGUGGAAAGUUCUGGCGGUGUGAGAUGAACCCGCGGCCUAUCAGCUUGUUGGUGGGGUGAUGGCCUACCAAGGCGACGACGGGUAGCCGGCCUGAGAGGGCGACCGGUCACACU
rnacentral:rRNA from 1 species